rnacentral:tRNA from 1 species
GGGGGCAUAGUGUAACGGUCGCACAACAGUCUCCAAAACUGUUAGUUAAGGUUCAAUUCCUUAUGCCCCUG